rnacentral:sRNA from 1 species
GUAAUUAUUUUGAAAGGACUGAUGGGUGGACAAUGAUUAACUAAUCUUAUUUUUACUAAUUGAAAUUUGAUAUUUCAAACACGUAAACCUAGGAUUAGUCUACCCAUUUUCCAUAUGCAAGCAGUCAUUCAUGAGGAUGAAUGCUUUAUUUUAUUUGGUAUAUGUCGGCUAAUCCUUCCAAUUAUUUGGGAGGAUUUUUCU